CAGCAGCCGCGGUAAUACGGGGGGAGCAAGCGUUGUUCGGAUUUACUGGGCGUAAAGGGCGCGUAGGCGGCCAGCACAAGUCAGUUGUGAAAUCUCCGAGCUUAACUCGGAAAGGUCAACUGAUACUGUGCGGCUAGAGUGCGGAAGGGGCAACUGGAAUUCUUGGUGUAGCGGUGAAAUGCGUAGAUAUCAAGAGGAACACCUGCGGCGAAGGCGGGUUGCUGGGCCGACACUGACGCUGAGGCGCGAAAGCCAGGGGAGCGAACGGGAUUAGAUACCCCGGUAGUCCUGGCCUUAAACGAUGAAUGCUUGGUGUCUGGGGUUAUAUAGUCCCCGGGUGCCGUCGCUAACGCUUUAAGCAUUCCGCCUGGGGAGUACGGUCGCAAGACUGAAACUCAAAGGAAUUGACGG
rnacentral:rRNA from 1 species